UAGGGAAUCUUCGGCAAUGGACGAAAGUCUGACCGAGCAACGCCGCGUGAGUGAAGAAGGUUUUCGGAUCGUAAAACUCUGUUGUUAGAGAAGAACAAGGACGUUAGUAACUGAACGUCCCCUGACGGUAUCUAACCAGAAAGCCACGGCUAACUACGUGCCAGCAGCCGCGGUAAUACGUAGGUGGCAAGCGUUGUCCGGAUUUAUUGGGCGUAAAGCGAGCGCAGGCGGUUUCUUAAGUCUGAUGUGAAAGCCCCCGGCUCAACUGGGGAGGGUCAUUGGAAACUGGGAGACUUGAGUGCAGAAGAGGAGAGUGGAAUUCCAUGUGUAGCGGUGAAAUGCGUAGAUAUAUGGGGGAACACCAGUGGCGAAGGCGGCUCUCUGGUCUGUAACUGACGCUGAGGCUCGAAAGCGUGGGGAGCAAACAGG
rnacentral:rRNA from 1 species